rnacentral:rRNA from 1 species
UAAGUUACUAAGGGCUUAUGGUGAAUGCCUUGGGACUAGUAGGCGAUGAAGGACGUGCAAAUCUGCGAUAAGCACCGGGUAGCUGAUAAGGAGCUAUGAUCCGGUGAUUUCCGAAUGGGGAAACCCAAUAUAUAGAGAUAUAUAUUAUUAUUAAUUGAAUAAAAUAGGUUAAUAAAGCAAUACCUGGUGAAGUGAAACAUCUCAGUAACCAGAGGAAAAGAAAACGAAGUGAUUCCCUGAGUAGUGGCGAGCGAAAGGGGAACAGGCCAAACCGAACUUCGGUUCGGGGUUGUAGGACUGUAAUAUGGACUUGAAUACGAUAGCAGAAGUGGUUGGGAAGCCACACCAGAGAGGGUGAUAGGCCCGUAUGCGAAAUUGUAUUCAUACCUAACAGUAUCCUGAGUACGGCGGGACACGUGAAAUCCUGUCGGAAUCCACCCAGACCAUUGGGUAAGCCUAAAUACUAACUAGUCACCGAUAGCGCAUAGUACCGUGAGGGAACGGUGAAAAGAACCCAGAGAUGGGAGUGAAAUAGAACCUGAAACCAUAAGCCUACAAGGUGUUAGAGCACAUUAAUGUGUGAUAGCGUGCCUUUUGAAGUAUGAGCCGGCGAGUUAUUGUAGCAUGCAAGGUUAAAUUGUAGAGAUGGAGCCGUAGGGAAACCGAGUUUUAAUAGAGCGAAUUAGUAUGUUGCAAUAGACGCGAAACGGGAUGAUCUAACCAUGGGCAGGUUGAAGAUAAAGUAACAUUUAUUGGAGGACCGAACCCACUUUCGUUGAAAUGACAGGGGAUGACCUGUGGUUAGUGGUGAAAUUCCAAUCGAAUUCCGUGAUAGCUUGUUCUCAUCGAAAUAUUUUUAGGAAUAGCGUUAGAUUAUUGGUUUUGUGGAGGUAAAGCGCUGAAUUUACGAUGGCGGCACCUAGCUGUACUGAGUAAAAUUAAACUCUGAAUGCCAUAAAACCUAUUCUAGCAGUCAGACAGUGGGGGAUAAGCUCCAUUGUCGCGAGGGAAACAGCCCAGACCGUUAAUUAAGGUCCCUAAUAUAUACUAAGUGGAAAACGAUGUUAAGAUUCAUAAACAGCAAGGAUGUUGGCUCAGAAGCAGCCAUCGUUUAAAGAGUGCGUAACAGCUCACUUGUCGAGAGUCUUUGCGCGGAAGAUGUACCGGGGCUAAAGUAUAUAACCGAAAUUACGGAUAACAUUUUAAUGUUAUGGUAGAUGAGUGUUGUAAUCGGGGUGAAGGUAGAUCGAGAGAACUAUUGGACUGAUUACAAGCAAGAAUGCCGGCGUGAGUAACGAAUGAAAGUGAGAAUCUUUCAAGCCGAUUGACUAAGGUUUCCUGGGGAAGGGUCGUCCUCCCAGGGUAAGUCGGAUCCUAAGGCGAGGCCGAAAGGCGUAGUCGAUGGAAAACAGGUUAAUAUUCCUGUACCUACGUAAUGAGUGAUGGAGUGACGGAGUAGGUUAAUAGGUGCCAGUAAUCGGAUUCUGGUUUAAGUACAAAGUUUUAUAGGUUGGCAAAUCCGCCUAUUUUAAGAACAAUGUACGAUGACGAGCGAAACCUACGGGGAGUAGUUAAGACCUAUACAUCACACUUCCAAGAAAAGCUUCUAAGCGUUAAUCAUUAAGUAGUCCGUACCGAGAACGAACACACGUGGUCAAGAUGAAUAUUCUAAGGCUAGCGAGUCAACUAUAUUUAAGGAACUCUGCAAAUUGAUCCCGUAAGUUCGCAAUAAGGGAUGCUCAUAGUAAAAUAUGAGCCGCAGUGAAUAGCGAGGGGGGACUGUUUAUCAAAAACACAGCUUUAUGCUAAAUCGUAAGAUGAUGUAUAUGAGGUGACACCUGCCCAAUGCUGUAAGGUUAAAGAAGAAUGUUAGGAUCAAACCGAAGCUUUCGACUGAAGCCCCAGUGAAUGGCGGCCGUAACUAUAACGGUCCUAAGGUAGCGAAAUUCCUUGUCGGGUAAAUUCCGUCCCGCUUGAAUGGUGUAACCAUCUCUUGACUGUCUCGAAUAUAGACUCGGUGAAAUCCUGGUGAGGGUGAAGACGCCCUCUUGGCGUGAUUGGACGGAAAGACCCCAUGAAGCUUUACUGUAGCUUGAUAUUGGGAAUUUAUAUAAUUUAUAGAGCAUAGGUAGGAGACUUUGAAGUGAUAACGCCAGUUAUCAUGGAGUCGCCAUUGGAAUACUACCUUUAUUAUAUAGGCUCCCUAACCUGUAGCCAUGAAUCUGGCUAGGGGACAGUGUCAGGUGGGCAGUUUGACUGGGGCGGUCGCCUCCUAAAAAGUAACGGAGGCGCGCAACGGUACCCUCAGCACGGUCGGAAAUCGUGUAUAGAGUGUAAUGGUAUAAGGGUGCUUGACUGCGAGACUUACACGUCGAGCAGGUAAGAAAUUAGGUCAUAGUGAUCCGGUGGUUCAGAAUGGAAUGGCCAUCGCUCAACGGAUAAAAGCUACUCUGGGGAUAACAGGCUGAUAGUGCCCAAGAGUUCAUAUCGACGGCACUGUUUGGCACCUCGAUGUCGACUCAUCUCAUCCUGGAGCUGAAGCAGGUUCCAAGGGUUCGGCUGUUCGCCGAUUAAAGAGAUACGUGAGUUGGGUUCAAACCGUCGUGAGACAGGUUGGUCCCUAUCUGUCAUGCCCGUAGGAAGAUUGAGAAGAGCUGCUCCUAGUACGAGAGGACCGGAGUGGAGAUACCUCUUGUGGUCCUGUUGUCGCGCCAGCGGCAUAGCAGGGUAGCAACGUAUCGAAUAGAUAAACGCUGAAAGCAUCUAAGUGUGAAGCUAACUUCAAGAUUAAUCUUCCCUCCUUUUUGGGUAAGAAUCGUUGUAGACUACGACGUUGAUAGGUCAGAUGUGUACGCAUGGCGACAUGUUUAGCUUACUGAUACUAAUAAUUCGAGGACU